rnacentral:rRNA from 1 species
ACUCCGGGGAUAACAGGCUGAUACCGCCCAAGAGUUCAUAUCGACGGCGGUGUUUGGCACCUCGAUGUCGGCUCAUCACAUCCUGGGGCUGAAGUAGGUCCCAAGGGUAUGGCUGUUCGCCAUUUAAAGUGGUACGCGAGCUGGGUUUAGAACGUCGUGAGACAGUUCGGUCCCUAUCUGCCGUGGGCGCUGGAGAACUGAGGGGGGCUGCUCCUAGUACGAGAGGACCGGAGUGGACGCAUCACUGGUGUUCGGGUUGUCAUGCCAAUGGCACUGCCCGGUAGCUAAAUGCGGAAGAGAUAAGUGCUGAAAGCAUCUAAGCACGAAACUUGCCCCGAGAUGAGUUCUCCCUGACUCCCUGAGAGUCCUGAAGGAACGUUGAAGACGACGACGUUGAUAGGCCGGGUGUGUAAGCGCAGCGAUGCGUUGAGCUAACCGGUACUAAUGAACCGUGAGG